UACGUAGGCAGCGAGCGUUGUUCGGAGUUACUGGGCGUAAAGCGUGCGUAGGCGGUGUCUUAAGUUUGUUGUGAAAUCUCCCGGCUUAACCGGGAGGGUGCGGCGAAUACUGAGAUGCUGGAGUGCCGGAGAGGUAAGCGGAAUUCCUGGUGUAGCGGUGAAAUGCGUAGAUAUCAGGAGGAACACCGGCGGUGUAGACGGCUUUCUGGACCGUAGCUGACGCUGAGACACGAAAGCGUGGGUAGCAAACAGG
rnacentral:rRNA from 1 species